CAGACACAGAAUUCAUCCUUAAUUCUGACCAGAUAUUCCAAACAAGGGAAGAAAGCAAAAAUGUGUGAGAAUUCAAACAAAUCUUUCCCAUUCUGUCAGCAUCUUCGUUUUUAUACAUGGUGAAAAUUUUAUAAGCAUAAAGACUUUGAUGCCGGAAUUGACAUGAUGCAGAAUCACCUUGAGAAACUAACUGGACGAUGUUUGCGGGAAUGCUAGCAGGACCAAACGGAAGGUCACAGAUACUCUGGCUGUACCCAGUCACUACAGAUGGGAUGGUGCUGCUCAGACAGAUCAUGAUUUGA
rnacentral:lncRNA from 1 species